rnacentral:rRNA from 1 species
UACGAAGGGGGCUAGCGUUGCUCGGAAUUACUGGGCGUAAAGGGCGCGUAGGCGGCACUGUUAGUCAGGCGUGAAAGUCCUGGGCUCAACCUGGGAACUGCGCUUGAUACGGCAGAGCUAGAGGAUGGAAGAGGGUCGCGGAAUUCCCAGUGUAGAGGUGAAAUUCGUAGAUAUUGGGAAGAACACCAAUGGCGAAGGCAGCUCUCUGGGACGGUACUGACGCUGAGACGCGAAAGCGUGGGGAGCGAACGAGGA